GGGCACGUGGUGUUCGGCCGAGGGUCCUUCCGGGCGCUCACAGGGGAAAGAUAAUAAUGAUGUCACACGCCGUGACACGCGACAUGACACCACCCGCCGUCACGGGACAGACGUGACAUCGCACGCCACCGUGGGACAGACAGACGUGACGUGCCGCACCGUCACGGAGAGAGGCCGCCGGGCAGCGGGUGGAUGUGCUCCCAGGUGCCGGCGAUGCCCGCGUGACGCCCGUUGUGAGCCGGGCUGCCUACGGAAGGUUCCGGAAGCUCUUCCCCGACGCGGCAGGCGAAGGUCAGGCUCAGGUGGUUGUGGCUGGCCUUUGUUGCCCCAGUGACCGGGACUUCCUGUUUGGUGGCGGUGACAGACAGGUGGGCGGGAUCCCGUGUUCGUCCCUCAUUGGUCACCCUCCUCGGCUUGGCUGGCGUCAUUAAAGUCUCCAUGGAUUUUCUGUC